AACUUUCAACAACGGAUCUCUUGGUUCUGGCAUCGAUGAAGAACGCAGCGAAAUGCGAUAAGUAAUGUGAAUUGCAGAAUUUUAGUGAAUCAUCGAAUCUUUGAACGCACAUUGCGCCCUAUGGCAUUCCGUAGGGCAUGCCUGUUCGAGCGUCAUAG
rnacentral:rRNA from 1 species